AGCAGUAGCCACGGGAAUACAGAGGGUGCGAGCGUUAAUCGGAUUUACUGGGCGUAAAGCGUGCGUAGGCGGCUUCUUAAGUCGGAUGUGAAAUCCCUGAGCUUAACUUAGGAAUUGCAUUCGAUACUGGGAAGCUAGAGUAUGGGAGAGGAUGGUAGAAUUCCAGGUGUAGCGGUGAAAUGCGUAGAGAUCUGGAGGAAUACCGAUGGCGAAGGCAGCCAUCUGGCCUAAUACUGACGCUGAGGUACGAAAGCAUGGGGAGCAAACAGGAUUAGAUACCCGCGUAGUCCCUGUCUCUUAUAA
rnacentral:rRNA from 1 species